GACAGAGGAUGCAAGCGUUAUCCGGAAUGAUUGGGCGUAAAGCGUCUGUAGGUGGCUUUUAAGUCCGCCGUCAAAUCCCAGGCUCAACCCUGGACAGGCGGUGGAACUACCAAGCUGGAGUACGGUAGGGCAGAGGGAAUUUCCGGUGGAGCGGUGAAGUGCGUAGAGAUCGGAAAGAACACCAACGGCGAAGCACUCUGCUGGCCGACACUGACACUGAGAGACGAAAGCUAGGGAGCGAAUGGG
rnacentral:rRNA from 1 species